AAAUUAAAAAGCUGUAUGAUUUAGUUUAUCAUGCUUUUAAUUUACUAAAUAAAAAGUGAAUACUUUUAAAUGAAAUUAUUCAACGGAGACAAAAACUUUAAACCAGUAGAGUUAUCUCCCCAAUCACAGGGUAAACAAUGCUACCAGUCUGCUUACCAUGGCACUGCAAUUACUUCAGUCUGUAAAUUCAGAGAAUAAUAUUUUGCUUUAAAAUUAGUGUUUUAACCUGUUUUUACUUAUUAAUUAGUCUAUUGGUGUUGCACACAUUUAUGUUAAGGUAUAGCACCAUAUGUCAUGUAUGUAUAUAGGUAUGGCACACAUGAAUGAAUUGGGACCUUAUCAACGUAUUGUGUUCAAAGAAAACCUAACGAAUCCAGCAGUUCAAAAACAUGUUUUGCAGUGAGGCGAAUGGUGACAAUGGCUUUGUGGCAGUUAGUGAAAAACUGUGGCAUUUUACACUGAUGAUGGCUACAAUUUACAGAAAAUUUCUCAACCAAUAGUGACAUUCAAUUGAAAGUAAUAGCAUAUCUUACACCGACUAUACAUCAGAAUGUUGUUGAAAAAAGCCAUGGCAAAAGGUGGAAAAUACUGAUCAAUAUACUUCAAUGACUUUGGAACUGAGUAGAAAAUGGUGACAUUUUAGCACCAUAUUGUGUGUAUACUUUUUCUUGCAUCCGCACAGUCCGGCCAGGAUCCAUGCUGUUCACUAAUGGUUUCUAUGGUUGCAAUAGCAUUUGAAAGCGAGCAGCAUGGAUUCUGACCAAAUCAAGCUGAUGCGCAGGCUGGUCUGUAGCCAUGCUGAUCGCAAAGCCUCUAUGUUGGUUUUCUCCUGGCACGGCUCAUUUAUAAAUUCAUGUAUGUAAAUAGUGUUUUGCUUAUGGUAUUUUGUCAGCACAGGUAAUGAAAUACUAAAAAAACAUAAAAUAUUUUGUUAGUGUUUUGUUCAAAUUUGUGACCUUGCUCUUUUGCAUAUCAUAUGUUUUGUUGGUAUUUUGUUAGCAGUGUUUUGUUAGUGUUUUCUUUAGCACAUAUAAUGAAACACUAAUAAAACAUUAAGUAUUCUGUUAGCGUUUUGUUUAAGCCUAACUUGCAUAUCAUGUUUUGUUGGUAUUUCGUUAGCAAUGUUUUGUUAGUGUUUUGUUAGUGUUUUGUUACCUCAUUUGCAUGUCAUUUGCUAUACUAAUAAAACAUCAUCAAAACACA
rnacentral:lncRNA from 1 species